rnacentral:rRNA from 1 species
GGGGAAUUUUCCGCAAUGGGGGCAACCCUGACGGAGCAAUACCGCGUGGGGGAGGAAGGCCCUUGGGUCUGUAAACCCCUUUUGUCAGGGAAGAAGCUCUGACGGUACCUGACGAAUCAGCCUCGGCUAACUCCGUGCCAGCAGCCGCGGUAAGACGGAGGAGGCAAGCGNNNNNCGGAAUUAUUGGGCGUAAAGCGUCCGUAGGUGGCCCUUCAAGUCUGCUGUUAAAGCCCAGGGCUCAACCCUGGAGAAGCAGUGGAAACUGGCGGGCUAGAGUGCGGUAGGGGUAGAGGGAAUUCCCGGUGUAGCGGUGAAAUGCGUAGAGAUCGGGAAGAACACCNGUGGCGAAAGCGCUCUGCUGGACCGCAACUGACACUGAGGGACGAAAGCUAGGGGAGCGAAUGGGAUUAGAUACCCCAGUAGUC